GAGAGUGGCGCAAGGGUGAGUAACACGUGAGUAAUCUGCCCCGAAGUCUGGGAUAGCCCAUGGAAACGUGGAUUAAUACCGGAUGUGGCUGUAUGAACUGCGGUUCUAACAGUUAAAGAUUCAUCGCUUCGGGAUGAGCUCGCGGUCCAUCAGCUUGUUGGUGAGGUAACGGCUCACCAAGGCGACGACGGAUAGCUGGUCUGAGAGGAUGACCAGUCACACUGGGACUGAGACACUGCCCAGACUCCUACGGGAGGCUGCAGUCGAGAAUCUUCCGCAAUGGGCGCAAGCCUGACGGAGCGAUGCUGCGUGCCGGACGAAGGCCUUCGGGUCGUAAACGGCUGUCACUCGGGACGAAUUUUGACGGUACCGAGAGAGGAAGCCACGGCUAACUACGUGCCAGCAGCCGCGGUAAUACGUAGGUGGCGAGCGUUAUUCGGAAUUAUUGGGCCUAGAGGGUUCGUAGGGGGUAAUGUAAGUCCGGUGUGAAAUCUCGAGGCUCAACCUCGAAACUGCAUUGGAAACUGCAUUACUUGAGUGUCAGAGAGGAAAGCGGAAUUCCUGGUGUAGAGGUGGAAUGCGUAGAUAUCAGGAAGAACACCGACGGCGGAGGCAGCUUUCUGGCUGGCAACUGACCCUGAUGAACGAAAGCUAGGGUAGCGAACAGGAUUAGAUACCCUGGUAGUCCUAGCUGUAAACGUUGUGCACUGGAUGUGGGCGGAUUUGGUCCCGUCUGUGUCUGAGCGAAAGGCGUUAAGUGCACCGCCUGGGGACUACGGGCGCAAGGCUAAAACUCAAAGGAAUUGACCGGGGCCCGCACAAGCGGUGGAGCAUGUGGCUCAAUUCGAGGGCACGCGAAGAAACUUACCUGGGUUUGACAUAUACCCGAACCGACGGUGAGAGCCGGUUUCUCUUUGAGCAGGUAUACAGGUGCUGCAUGGCUGUCGACAGCUCGUGCUGUGAAGUGUUCGGUUAAGUCCGGCAACGAGCGCAACCCACGCUGUUAGUUACCAUCAGGUAAUGCUGGGGACUCUAACAGGACUGCCCGUUGCUAAGCGGGAGGAAGGCGUGGACGACGUCAAGUCCGCAUGGCCAUUACGCCCAGGGCUGCACACGUGCUACAAUGGCCGGUACAGAGG
rnacentral:rRNA from 1 species